GUUGAGGUCUAUCCCGAUGGGGCUUUUUCCGGAGACCUGCAUUGUUGGAAAUGCCUCAUAGAGUAACUAUGUGGUUUCCUUUACUCACAGAACUACAUGUUAGAUCUGUGGAAAGAACUACAAGACAGAG
ensembl:snoRNA